rnacentral:rRNA from 1 species
UACGAAGGGGGCUAGCGUUGCUCGGAAUCACUGGGCGUAAAGCGCACGUAGGCGGAUCGUUAAGUCGGGGGUGAAAUCCUGGAGCUCAACUCCAGAACUGCCUUCGAUACUGGCGAUCUUGGAGUCCGGGAGAGGUGAGUGGAACUCCGAGUGUAGAGGUGAAAUUCGUAGAUAUUCGGAAGAACACCCGUGGCGAAGGCGGUUCUCUGGGACGGU